CCUACGUUUGCGAGCUAAAACUGGAUCCAGCACGGGUAACGAUAAAACGGGAAUUUGACUUGAGAUUUCACAGCGUGAAACAGAGUUUUCAAUACAGCAAACAUGACCCUGGAGUUCCAGAAAGCGGAGCAGGGAACUUCGAUUGGAGGCCAUCGUAUCGUCACGCUUCAAUGACCGAGUGCUCGGAACACACGUUACGCUAACUCCCAGACUUCCAAUCGCGCAAGGUGGAAUUAAAACUUGAUGUUUGUUUUCCUUUUACACUUUUCGCUCUAGUUCAAAUAAUUUUCCUUUUUUUUUUCUCAGAAUAUACGAAAAUACGCGGUAUUCGUAUGUACCUGGUGUUCACUAUAAAGAAAUGAAUUAUCCUUUUCUCA